UGCGUACCUUGCAAGGUCCUCAUGCCUGUCAGACCGUUUUCACUUGACCUCGACCUCAUUUCAUGGAUCAGUGAACAAGGUUAAGUUUUCGUGGUCAAGUCCAUAUCUCAGAUACUAUAAGCAAUAGGUCUAGUAUAUUCGGUGUAUGGAAGGACUGUAAGGUGUACAUGUCCAACUGGCAGGUGUCAUCUGACCUUGACCUCAUUUUCAUGGUUCAGUGGUUAUAGUUAAGUUUUUGUGUUUUGGUCUGUUUUUCUUAUACUAUAUGCAAUAGGUCUACUAUAAUUGGUGUAUGGAAUGAUUGUAAGGUGUACA
rnacentral:lncRNA from 1 species